rnacentral:lncRNA from 1 species
AGACGGUACUGCAGGGACACCAGCAAUAUCAACGACGACAACUGUGGAAAUCCGCAAAAGCAGUGUUAUGACAACUGAGAUCACCUCUAAAGUGGAAAAAAGCCCAACGACAGCCACUGGCAAUAGCUCAUGUCCUUCUACUGAGACCGAGGAAGAAAAGGCAAAACGGCUUCUUUACUGUUCGCUAUGCAAGGUUGCUGUCAACUCUGCCUCGCAGCUGGAGGCGCACAACAGUGGUACUAAGCACAAAACCAUGUUAGAAGCCCGGAAUGGAAGUGGCACUAUCAAAGCCUUUCCUAGGGCAGGAGUGAAAGGCAAAGGACCUGUUAAUAAAGGAAACACAGGCCUCCAAAAUAAAACAUUUCACUGUGAAAUCUGUGAUGUGCACGUCAACUCGGAAACGCAACUUAAACAGCACAUUAGCAGUAGAAGGCACAAAGACAGAGCUGCUGGGAAGCCCCCGAAACCUAAAUACAGUCCUUACAACAAACUACAGAAGACAGCACAUCCAC